UUCAGAUCACUGGUAUGGCCCUACAAAUUUUGCAGAAAUACUAUAAGAAUUGCGAAAUUUCCCAUAAUCUUAUCUUUUAUUUGUUUGUUUACUUCACAUGUUGUAUUGUUAUUUGUUUAGUCUAAAUUUUACCUUUCUAAGCAAGCCAGUGAGUCAUGCAGAAUGCAUGUUUGUGAUGCAUAAUAUUUGCCUUUGCAUACAUGAGCAAAUGGAUCAGCCAGGAAUGUGUUUGUUUAG
rnacentral:misc_RNA from 1 species